UGGCUCAGUAACACGUGGAGAAUCUAACCUUUGGUGGAGGAUAAUCUCGGGAAACUGAGAAUAAUACUCCAUAAACAUAGGAUGCUGGAAUGCUUCUAUGUUGAAAGGCAACGCCAAAGGAUGACUCUGCGACCUAUCAGGCUGUAGUGAGUGUAAUGGACUCACUAACCUGCAACGGGUACGGGUGUUGGAAGACAUUGCCCAGAGAUGGACUCUGAGACAUGAGUCCAGGUUCUACGGAACGCAGCAGGCGCGAAAACUCCGCAAUGUACGAAAGUACGACGGGGGAAUUCUGAGUGCUUACGCCUUGCGUAGGCUGUUUUCUUGUCUAAAAAACAAGGAGAGUAAGGGCUGGGUAAGACGGGUGCCAUCUCGUGCAAUUCUGCACUUAUUGUGUUCGUUGCACGAAGCACAAGCCGCCGCGGUAAUACCCGCGGCCCGAGUGGUGCUCAUUAUUAUUGAGCCUAAAACGUCCGUAGCCGGUUUAAUAAAUUCUUGGGUAAAUCAUAUCGCUUAACGAUAUGAAUUCUGAGAACACUGCUAAACUCGGGAAUGGGAGAGGCCAGAGGUACUUUCAGGGUAGGGGUAAAAUCCCGUAAUCCUGAGAGGACCACCGGUGGCGAAGGCGUCUGGCUAGAACAUAUUCGACGGUAAGGGACGAAGCCCUGGGGCGCAAACGGGAUUAGAUACCCCGGUAGUCCAGGGUGUAAACGCUGUAGAUUUGGUGUUGGAAAUCCUACGGGGAUUCCCAGUGCCGGAGAGAAGUUGUUAAAUCUACUGCUUGGGGAGUACGGUCGCAAGACUGAAACUUAAAGGAAUUGGCGGGGGAGCACCGCAACGGGUGGAGCGUGCGGUUUAAUUGGAUUCAACGCCGA
rnacentral:rRNA from 1 species